rnacentral:rRNA from 1 species
UACGGAGGGUGCGAGCGUUGUCCGGAAUCAUUGGGCGUAAAGCGCACGUAGGCGGCUUUGUCAGUCAGGGGUGAAAUCCCGGGGCUCAACCUCGGAACUGCCUUUGAUACAGCAAGUCUUGAGUUCGAGAGAGGUGGGUGGAAUUCCUAGUGUAGAGGUGAAAUUCGUAGAUAUUAGGAAGAACACCGGUGGCGAAGGCGGCCCACUGGCUCGAUACUGACGCUGAGGUGCGAAAGCGUGGGGAGCAAACAGG